rnacentral:rRNA from 1 species
GACGAACGCUGGCGGCGUGCUUAACACAUGCAAGUCGAACGGAAAGGCCCUGCUUUUGUGGGGUGCUCGAGUGGCGAACGGGUGAGUAACACGUGCGUAACCUGCCCUUGACUUUGGGAUAACUUCAGGAAACUGGGGCUAAUACCGGAUAGGAGCUCCUGCUGCAUGGUGGGGGUUGGAAAGUUUCGGCGGUUGGGGAUGGACUGGCGGCUUAUCAGCUGGUUGGUGGGGUAGUGGCUUACCAAGGGUUUGACGGGUAGCCGGCCGGCGAGGGUGACCGGCCGCCUGGGGACUGAGAGACGGCCCAGACUCCUACGGGAGGCAGGAGUGGGGAAUAUUGAACAAUGGGCGGAAGCAUGAGGCAGCAACGCCGCGUGCGGGAGGGCGGCCUUCGGGUGGUAAACCGCUUUCGCCUGGGACGAAGCGUGAGUGACGGUAAUGGGUAAAGAAGCACCGGCUAACUACGU